rnacentral:rRNA from 1 species
GACGAACCGUGCGAACGUUGUUCGGAUUCACUGGGCUUAAAGGGCGCGUAGGCGGUCGGCCAAGUCUUGGGUGAAAUCUUUCGGCUCAACCGGAAAAUUGCCUGCGAUACUGGCCGGCUCGAGGGAAGUAGGGGUCACGGGAACUUCCGGUGGAGCGGUGAAAUGCGUUGAUAUCGGAAGGAACGCCGGUGGCGAAAGCGCGUGACUGGGCUUCUUCUGACGCUGAGGCGCGAAAGCUAGGGGAGCAAACGGG